rnacentral:rRNA from 1 species
AUUGAACGCUGGCGGCAGGCUUAACACAUGCAAGUCGAGCGGGGUGAUGGUGCUUGCACUAUCACUUAGCGGCGGACGGGUGAGUAAUGCUUAGGAAUCUGCCUAUUAGUGGGGGACAACAUCUCGAAAGGGAUGCUAAUACCGCAUACGUCCUACGGUAGAAAGCAGGGGAUCACUUGUGACCUUGUGCUAAUAGAUGAGCCUAAGUCGGAUUAGCUCGUUGGUGGGGUAAAGGCCUACCAAGGCGACGAUAUGUAGCGGGUCUGAGAGGAUGAUCCUCCACACUGGGACUGAGACACGGCCCAGACUCCUACUGGAGGCAGCAGUGGGGAAUAUUGGACAAUGGGGGGAACCCUGAUCCAUCCAUGCCGCGUGUGUGAAGAAGGCCUUAUGGUUGUAAAGCACUUUAAGCGAGGAGGAGGCUUACCUAGUUAAUACCUGGGAUAAGUGGACGUUACUCGCAGAAUAAGCACCGGCUAACUCUGUGCCAGCAGCCGCCGUAA